rnacentral:rRNA from 1 species
UACAGAGGCCACAAGCGUUAGUCGGAAUCACUGGGCUUAAAGGGUGCGUAGGCUGGCCCGCAAGCGUCCUGUGAAAGCCCCCGGCUCAACCGGGGAACAGCAGGGCGAACUGCGGGUCUUGAGGCAGGUAGGGGUCGCUGGAACAGUAGGUGGAGCGGUGAAAUGCGUAGAGAUCUACUGGAACGCCGAUGGUGAAGACGAGCGACUGGGCCUGUCCUGACGCUGAGGCACGAAAGCGUGGGGAGCAAACAGG